GUGGGGAAUAUUGCACAAUGGGCGCAAGCCUGAUGCAGCAACGCCGCGUGAAGGAAGACGGUUUUCGGAUUGUAAACUUCUGUUCUUAGUGAAGAAAUUUGACGGUAGCUAAGGAGCAAGCCACGGCUAACUACGUGCCAGCAGCCGCGGUAAUACGUAGGUGGCAAGCGUUGUCCGGAAUUACUGGGUGUAAAGGGAGCGCAGGCGGGAAAGCAAGUCAGCUGUGAAAUCCAUGGGCUCAACCCAUGAACUGCAGUUGAAACUGUUUUUCUUGAGUGAAGUAGAGGUUGGCGGAAUUCCGAGUGUAGCGGUGAAAUGCGUAGAUAUUCGGAGGAACACCGGUGGCGAAGGCGGCCAACUGGGCUUUUACUGACGCUGAGGCUCGAAAGUGUGGGGAGCAAACAGGAUUAGAAACCCGAGUAGUCC
rnacentral:rRNA from 1 species